GGUUUUAUAUUCAAGUAUGAUUCUUGGCUGCAAUCCUAGAGGUGUAAUUAUUUACUAAGGCCU
rnacentral:tRNA from 1 species